rnacentral:lncRNA from 1 species
GCAUCCAAAAGGGUAUACUUGUGCCUACACAUCAAUGUACAAGGGCUUAUGGUCUGACACAAACGCGAUUAAACAUUGAACAUGUUUGGUGGACAAAUUAUUGAUUCACUUUUUUGAAAUAGACAUUUAAUGGUUGCAAUGUCUAGUGCUUUUUCUUAAUUUUUGCUUGCAACAACUAAUCUUUUUAGGUCUUUCCAGUGUGCUGCUUUAUGUGCGUGAUAACGGCAUUUGAUUGCGGAUGAUCAAAUUAAC